rnacentral:snoRNA from 1 species
AUUCCAUGAUGUGGACACUUUCACAGCAUAUUCUUGAACCUAUUCCAGGCUUCAUCGAAAUUCUCUAAGUCGCCUUGGCGGAAGAUAUAAAUAUCGUGAUUGAGUUU